rnacentral:rRNA from 1 species
AUGUUUGGACAGCAAUCGUUUAGUGCAAUGGGUUCUGCUGAAAUGUCUUUACUAGCUAUGCCACCGCAUCAAUCUAAUGAAAGUUUUCUGAAAGCUUAUGAAGUGGUGCUGAUAUUGGAUGAUCGAGAUACUUUCGGGCCCCGUUCGAGAAGAAAAGUUGUUGAUAAUAUACGCUCGCAGUUUAAUAUUCCUGUAGAGAUUAAACACUUGCCUGUUGGAGAUGCUCUUUGGAUUGCUCGCCAUAAAGAACUUGACAACGAUUAUGUUCUUGAUUUCAUUGUUGAAAGGAAAAAUGUGGAGGAUUUACUUGGCUCAAUUAAAGACAACAGAUACAAAGAUCAAAAACUAAGACUGAAGAAAUGUGGGCUAAGGAAGCUAAUAUAUCUAGUUGAAGGGGAUGUAAACACUGUAGAUGGAUCAGAGGGCGUUAAAACAGCGUAUGUACUCUUCUCAUGA